UAUUGUAUAUGACUUGAGAUGUUUGCCUUGCCUUAAUGUUUGUUGUCCUCUAUAACAAUUACAUAUAUAUGACAGGCUUCUUUCAAUUUCAGUCAACCAAAUCCACUCACAAGGCUUUGAUCAGCCAAAGGCUAUAUUAAAAGACACUUGUUCAAGGUGCCAUUCAGUAGGACUGAACCCAGCACCAUGUGGUUUGGAAGCAAACUUCUUACUACAAAGGUACACCUGUGCCAAGAAGAUAAAAUUCCAAUAGUUUCUAAUUUAGGUAAAAGUCCACAGCAACUUUGAUAUGAACAAUUAUUCAAUAACAUCAACCCCCAGUACUUGACAGCUACUUUACUUCAUUGAUUACAGUGGGACGGAAGGCAAAGUUGACAUUAGUAAGGCUUGAACUUAAAACAACAUAAAGAGCCAGAAAAAAUAACUGAAAGAAUUUUAUCAAUGCUGUAACGAUUGCACCAACAUGCUGUCCUACAUUAUACGUACAUAAAUACAUACGCAUAUAUAUAUAUACAUAUAUUUAUACAUACAUACACACACAUAUAUAUGUAUAUAUAUACGUACAUACAUAUAUAUACAUACACAUACAUACAUAUAUAUAAAUAUAUGCAUACAUAUGUAUACAUACAUAUAUACACAUACAAACAAAAAUAACAAGGUGCAGGCAUGGCUGUGCGGUAAGAAGCUUGCUUCCCAAUGACAUAAUUCCAGGUUCGGUCCCACUGCAUGGCACUGGGUGUGUGUGUCUUUUACUAUAGUCUCAGGUUGACCAAAGCCUUGUGAGUGGAUUUGGUAGACAGAAACUGAAAGAAGUCAUCAUCAUCAUCAUCAUCAUCAUUGUUUAACUUCCGCUUCCCAUGCUGGCAUGUGUUGAAAGACUUGACUGAGGACUGGCAAGCCAGUAGACUGCACCAGGCUCCAAUCUGAUCUGGCAAGGUUUCUACAGCUGGAUGCCCUUCCUAAUGCCAACCACUCUGAGAGUGUAAUGGGUGCUUUUUAAGUGUCACUGACAUGGGAGUCAGUCAGGCAAGACUAGCAUCGACCAUGUUCAGAUGAUGCUGUUGUAUGUAUAUUUAGAUAGCUGACCACUACAUUUAUAUUUUUUUCUCCUUGUUUUCUCUUUAUUUCCUUCUGUGUUCCUUUCAGUUGAAGAGCGUAGCUCGAAACGUUAAAGACUUUCUCUAUUCUUGAUCAUUAAACUAAUACAUCCAUUUGUUGUUUACACCA